GUAUUUCCAUGUUUUAUACAGAAAAUUCACACCAACCUUUUAAAAGUAAAAUAAUGGCUGCCAUUGAAAAAAUGUUAAUGGUCAAAAUAAAAUAAAUGUGGGUGGAUGGAUUAAAUAUAAAAUAAAAUAGUUGUCUAUGAGAUUCCGUUCCGCCCACCCUACGUGACGGUGACCUUUACAAAUUAAAAUGGGAAGAAAAGUGGGACCGAAUAAGGAAAUAAAUAAAAAGAAUUUGAGUG
rnacentral:lncRNA from 1 species